GAGUGAACGCUGGCGGUAGGCCUAACACAUGCAAGUCGAACGGCAGCCCAGUAAGAGCUUGCUCUUACGGGUGGCGAGUGGCGGACGGGUGAGGAAUACAUCGGAAUCUACUUUUUCGUGGGGGAUAACGUAGGGAAACUUACGCUAAUACCGCAUACGACCUACGGGUGAAAGCAGGGGAUCUUCGGACCUUGCGCGAUUGAAUGAGCCGAUGUCGGAUUAGCUAGUUGGCGGGGUAAAGGCCCACCAAGGCGACGAUCCGUAGCUGGUCUGAGAGGAUGAUCAGCCACACGGGAACUGAGACACGGUCCAGACUCCUACGGGAGGCAGCAGUGGGGAAUAUUGGACAAUGGGCGCAAGCCUGAUCCAGCCAUACCGCGUGGGUGAAGAAGGCCUUCGGGUUGUAAAGCCCUUUUGUUGGGAAAGAAAAGCAGCAGGUUAAUACCCCGCUGUUCUGACGGUACCCAAAGAAUAAGCACCGGCUAACUUCGU
rnacentral:rRNA from 1 species